rnacentral:lncRNA from 1 species
GCUCUCAUUUUAAUUUCCACCUUCCCCGUUUCAAUUUUCCCUAUUUCUAGACCUAAUUCCAUUUUAAACACACCUGAUACGCUCAUCCCUCUCUUCCUUACCCUUUAUCUUCUCUAUAACCUACGCUGACAACACAUAUUUUCGGUCCACACACCGUGACCUCGCUUCUCACACAUCUGAUUGUCGAUCGAUCUUUGUAUGAGUCAAUUUCGACCUCUAAACGAGACAAGAAAAAACCCAAGAUGAAGAGGAUGAGAAAGAAGUUUCCUAGCCCCGGAAGAAGAAGAGGAAGAAGAAGUACCUGUGGAAGAUGCGAAACCAAUUGGUGACAUUGUUAGAGUUUCAGGAAAGGGUAAAACAAGGAGGAAUCAUUAUAAAUCAUUCAAAUCUAAUGGCCUUUCUAAAGAACUUGUGAGUACCUUUUCAUGUAAUAAUUCAGAUUCCUUUGCAUUUGUUCCUAGUUAUGUGGUUUUGCAUGCUUGAUGUUCUCUUACAUAGUCUUCCAAACUUCUGAAUUGGGUCGUCCGUCACUAGAAAUUUGAGAGGAACUUGCUCUAUCGAUAAUUUCGAACGAAUUCAAUAAUACCUUUCAAUCCUUCAUCACAAAUUUAACCCUAGAUCCUCUGAUUCUUUAACAAUCAAAGUUCAACUAAUAGGGAAAUAUCAUUUAACUCUUCUUUUUUCCUGACUUUAGUUAAUUUUGGAAUUAGGUGCAACCUCUGUCUUGCGGAAACUUCUGCUUCCUUAACAUCAACGUGGUCGACACCUCCAAGAAUUUGUCGUAUGGCUGUUUCCAAGGUUUUAAAACCAUUGAUUUGGUAUGGGUACUCCUGGCUUUAACCCUGUGACGACGAUGCAAGAUUCACCAAGUCUUAGAUUUCAUGGUUUAUAAUAUCGCACAUAAUCUUAAUAUAUCUAAUAUGAUUUAGGUGUUAUUAUAUGUUGAUUUCUGCCACUAAAAAUCAUAGGUCAGUAUUCCUUAUGAAAUUUUAAUUAUUUAAUUUGUGAUUUGGUAAAAGGAAAUUAAAAGAGCAAGCGCUAGUUUCGUUUGAUUUCCUGGAGAUGUUUGUACAGGGAUUUGGAGUUGUUUAUUAUAUGGAAUUGGACUUUAUUAUUUACUGCUGGUGAUUCUUUUUGAAAACUAGUUGAAACACGAUCUAACAAAACAAUAUUGGUCCCAUUUUUUUUUCUUUUCUUUUUUUUUUCUAUAAAACCCAGUUCAAUAGGGAUUAACCACUGUAGGUCUAGGUCCAUGGAGUUAAAACUUGAUGCAGUAGUAGAUUGAUAGGUUGGAUGUAUGAUUAUGUAAAUUGGAAACUAUAUGUAUGUGUUAUAUGUAACUUGGAUGAUAGAUUGAUGUUGAUGUUGGUGUUGUUAAACUAAAACAAGUGGAAAUUGAUAUUAAUAUUUAAUAUUUCCAAAUUUUAGGUUCAUAUUACACCCUCUAAUGGAACAUUGGCCAGAGCUAGAGACAUACCGCCUACUGCUGCUUUAACAUGUAUUAUAGUGUGGUUUCUAUUGGUAUAGUGUGGUUUCGAUUGGUUUCUUGAUAGUAUAUGUUAUGGAUGUAGUAUACUAAUAAAUAAUUUAUACAAAAACAUGCUUCCUUAUAGAUUCUUUUUAUAAGAUCAUGUAUGAUUGGACUUAUAAAUGGUUUAUAUCUAUUUUCUAUUCACAAGCAUAUUAGCAUAUAUGAAGCCCUAGAGUUAAGAAAUGCAGAUUAUGAGUAUCUACGAAAAGGAGUGAUCUCAUUUGAUAUUCUAUAUCACAAUUUGCAUUAAUGAAAUUUUUUAGAAGGAUAAAUGGUUAUUAUAUGUAGAAAUUUCAAUACUUUUGGCUUAUGUUUUUUUUUUGUUUUCUUUACCAUAUUUUUAGAUUUGUUAUAAGUACAAGUUCUUUUGGCUAUUUUAAUUAGGGAUCUUAUGUAUGAAUUUGUAUUUCAAUUAUUAAUAAUAUUGAUUUAUUUUUAUUGUUUCAUAUUGUUGAUUUAUGGUUACUUUCAUUUAUAUUGUUUUGAUGUGUAUGAAAUAAAGCUAAAGUAACAAUAAAAAAAUUGAAUUAAUGUCACCGAAUGUUAAACAAUAAUAACACUUCAAAUUUUUCUUGUGUCUAUAAUAUAAAUGUGGCCAUAUUUUUAAGUUUUUCAAUGUCUCUAAAAUUAUACAAUAGUCGCUCUACAUUAUUUUUGACAUGUGGCUAAAUGGUUAAUAAUAACCAUGAUCUAAACUAAAUAUGUGUCUACAUGUCUUUUAAGAUCAUGUUUUGUCGAGUUUUUGUGACGACAACUUAACCAAUAACAACAUUGAAAAAAAAUAUGUGUCAAAUAAAUCACAUUUCACUAAAUUCAAUACUCUGUGACUAAUAAUUCCUAUAUCAUCACGAUUAGAUAAUAUUUGUGCGUCAGAAUAUAAACCAAACGACAUGUUAAUAUACAUAUAACGUGACAAUAUGGAAGACAAUAGUCAUGUUCAUCUAUUGUUUAUAUACGAUAGGCAAUAGUCACAAUGAAAGAUUAUUUUUGUGACUAAUUAUUAGUAAAUCGCCACUUAUGAAAUUAAUUACAUGUGGCCAUUUAGCGAACAUUGUGAUGUUCACCAUAAUUACAUGUUUACAAAAGAUACUGAAUAGUCUUAAUAAACUUUAAACUGUGUGACAAUAUAUUAGUAAAACAACAUACUAAAACAAUAUGCAUGUCGCAAGUUGGUGAUAUACAGUCACUACAAUUAUUAAAUAAAUGUGUCCACUGAUGGUUUAAUGUCACAAUAUUGGAUAAAAUGAUUAAUUUUAGUAACAAAAUUCCCUACCCAUUAGCCACACUUUUAUAAUAUGGUCACAUUUUUUCAUAUCAUACGGGCACUACAUUUUAAAGUGACCAUAACACCCAUACGAUGAGUCACCUUCUGUCAAACUUUUAGUGAAAAAAUAAAAUGUCACUAUACGCAUAUGGUCACACUUUUAGUGUGCCCGUAGCUAAUUUUUUUACUAGUGUCAAUACUAAUUAAAUAACAUGAUUCCAUAUUAAUAUAUUAGAACUUAUAAUAUAUUAAUAUAAACCAUAAACAUACGAUUCUCAAAAGACUAUCCAUAUAAAUAGUUCCGGUGAAGUGCAACCCAAACGUACCGUGCCAAGUCGGGUCGAAUACAUACCAAUAAUACUUAUGGGCUUAGACAUAUAAUCCAACAGAUUCUUAGUAUAGAUAAGAUACAAUCUCUUCAAUAAUGGGAUAUACUUGUAUAGACUAGUAUAUAUUCAACAUUAGGAUGAAACCGUAAUGUAUAUAUCUACGGAUUGGUGUCAUUGAUCAUCUUUUGACCGUCCUUAUGACAAACCCGUUUUCUUGGUGAAAACAAACUCUUUCUUGGCGAAAGACAAUUCGUAGAAUAUCUUUUGUUUUAUACUUUAUGUAAUUUUUUUUAGAUUAGUUUUCUUUUGCUCUUUAUUGUUGAAGUGUACCCGAUCGAUACAAACCUUCAACGACACACUUUUGUUCCAUAUAGGUAGUGCCUAAAAAUUUUCAAAGCAAACACUACAACUCCCAACUCUAUGUCAUGGGUCAUGUUGUUUGUCUCGUUUGGUUUAAGUUGUCGGGAUACGUAUGCAAUGACCUUAUGCCUUUACAUUAGAAUGCAUCAUAACCCUUGGUGUGAGACAUAUUAGAACACUACAAAGUCUUCAGUUCCUUCUGGUGGAGAGAAAAUUGGUGCACUGCACAAUAGUUGCCUCAAAUUCUGGAAGGCAGACUCGUGGAUGUCUCCCUAAUUGAAAUUUUGUGUUUCUGGUUUAGAACGGUGAGAGGCUUGGGUAUUUUAGAGAAGUUCUCGACGAAUCUCUGAUAGUAACCUGCAAGCCCUUGGAAUUGGCGUAUUUUUUUAGCGCCAUUGGUGCUUUCCAAUCCUUAACUGCUUUGAUCUUUUUGGGAUCGACUUGAAUACCUUUACCGCUAACCACAUGGCCAAGGAAAUGCACUUCGUUAAUCUAGAACUCACAUUUAGUGAACUUUCCAUAAAGUUUCUCUUUUCUUAAAAGUUCUAGGAUUAAAAGCAAGUGUUGGUCGUGUCCUUCCUUGGUUCGUGAAUAUAUUAAUAUUCAUCGAUGAAAACGAUCACAAAUUUAUCUAAGUAUGGUUUGCAUACCCGAUUCAUAAGGUCCAUGAAUACGGCUGGUAUGCUAGUCAGUCCAAAGGCCAAAACCAGAAGCUACUAGUGAUCGUACCAAGUCCUGAAUGUCGUAUUUAGGAUAUUUGCUUCUUGAAAUAUGAGUUGAUGGUGGUCGAAUCUUAGAUCGAUCUUUGAGUAGUAGCAGGAUCCUUGUAGCUGGUCGAACAGGUGAUCGAUCCUUGGGAGUGGAUUUCGGUUUUUGAUGGUGAGCUUGUUCAAUUCUCGAUAGUCAAUGCAUAUUUUGGACGAACCAUCCUUCUUUUUAACAAACAAUAUCGGAGCUCCCUGAGGAGAAAAGCUUGGCCGGAUAAAGCCUUUGUCAAGAAGCUCUUGUAGUUGACUCGAUAGUUCUUGCAUUUCUAAUGGAGCCAGACAAUAAGGAGAUCUUUCCACUAGUGUUGCACCCUAGAUUAGGCCGAUUCAAAAUUCGACUUGUCUGACUGCAGGUACUCCAAGUAGAUCGUAUGGAAAUACGUUCGGGUAAUCGCAUUCUUUUGGUAUGUCUUUGAUUUCCUUACCCUUGCCUUGCAUAUCCACCACAUGGACCAUGAAAUCGAAUCAUCUCUUCUGCAAACACUUUCUCGCUUUCAUGAAAGUGAUGACUCCUAGGUUCUUCCCUGAUUUAUCUUCGUAAAUCACAAGGUCUUUGUUGUUGAGUAAUGGUAAUUGAACGACCAUUUCAUAACAUAAGAUUUCCACUCGGUGCAGUGAUAACCAAUCCAUUCUGAUGCUCAUAUCAAAACUUCCAAUGGUCAUUGGCAUUAGGUCGACAUGGAAGAUGUGAUUAUUCAGGGUGAGAAGGUAGUUGGUUAGUAUCUCUAAAGUUAUUUCAAUUUGCCAAUUUACUACUUCUACCGUGUAAGUAUCAUUUAAUUUGCAUGAUUUAUGGUUUAUCAUUCUCCUAAACUUAUGGGUAAUAAGGUUUAUGUCAACACCGGUGUCAAAUAAUACGGAAGCAUAAAUAUUAUUGAUAGGAAAUGUACCAGUAACCACAGUUGCUUCCUGACGUUCAUUUCCUGCACCUAUCAUGAAUGCCCUUACUUUACCACCCUGGUUCUUCAGUUUAGGGCAAUCCUUCUUGAAAUGAUCUGGUUGGUUGCAUUCAAAGCCGUUUCGGAUUCCCCAUAUAGGAGUGGUUGAGGCUGAAUUGUUCGGUGCCUUUCUGCAUAACUUAAAGGUGUGGCCCCUCAAAUUAUAGAUGUUGCAGAUCAAGCAAUUUCCAACAUGGUGGAAGUUGCACUUAUUACAGUGGGGUAGAGUUCCAACAUAGGGCUUUUUUGGAGUGGGAGUGUUUGUGAUUGCGACAUACAUAGUCAUUGGUUCUGGGUUUGGCUUACGAUGUUUGAAGUUCCCUUUCGAGUUCCCAUGGAACUUCCUUUUUGUACUCCCAGGUUGGUUCUUCUAUUUUGGUGGGGUCAUGGUACUCUGGUAGAUACUGUGACAACCCGAAAUUUUCAUUCGGUCAAACCCUAAAAGCCAAUCACUUCAUAUUAUAAGUCAAUUUCAUUUCCAAUUGUUUUUAACAAUUUUAAAGUUAGUUUGACUAUUAUAAUAAUUAUUCUUUAAACGAUCGGGUGAAAGGAUGUGCCGUCUUGAGUCUUGAAAUUUCAAAACCGCGAAUACCAUGUAGCUUAGAAGUUCACGACCACACUUUUAUUUUUAGGCCUUAAUUUACCCCAAAAAAUGUAAACUCAUGCUUAAGCAUGAGUUUACUCCCCAAAACACUUCAUUUCUCAUUUGCAAGCUCAAGAGUAAACUCCAAAACUCUCUCAGGUAUCAUCCAAGUUUUUAUUCAAUAUCUUCAAUCUAGUAAGUGUUUCUAGCCCUUUCAAGUUAGAAUAUCACUUAAUCUAGUGAUUGUACAUCUUUUCAUCCAUCCAUUUAUGUGUUUUGACUAGAUUUCCAAAACACCAAGAACACACACUAGUGUUCUUGGGCCCUUAGCACCUUUUCGAGCUUCUAACUUGUAAGUGCUUCUAUCCUAGAGUCUUACAAGCUUUGUUACACUUCUAUACAUCUAGAAAUAGUCCAAGAACACCAAGAUCAAAUGUGUUUACGGUCCAAGAACACCUUGGACCGUAUACCCUAUUUAGGGUGCCAAAGUGUGCUUUAUCUUAUCUUUAGCCUUGGGUAUUAACUUAAAAUCCUUCCUUGAUGUGUUUAGCACAUGAAAACCACCAAAAUCCCUCAUUUAUAUGUGGUUACGGUUUGGGGAUCUCCCAAAACCGUAAACACCCCUAAGAGGUGUAAAAAUGGCCCUAGUCCCUUCACAAGCCUAGGAAACUAGUCUAGAUUUAUUCCUUGUUAUGCUUGGGACUUGAAAACAUCAAAAUACCUUAGUCCAUAAUAUUUUAUGGUAGUAAACUCAUUGAGAAAUGGUCCAUGGACAGUAAAAUCCAUUUAGGAGUGUAUUGAUGCCACAAUACAUUUCCUAAGGCCUAAACAUGAAGUAGGAAUGCUUGCAAUGGCUUAGAAGACUUCAAACCAAAAAAUGGUCAAAAGGUUAUGAGCUUACGGCCGUAAACUCAAGAGUUUACAACCGUAAACUCAAGGGGUGUUGGUCUUUAGGGAGUAAACUCAUAUUAGGGGUUCCCUUGAACACUAAAACCCAAUAACCUUGCCCUACAACACUUAGAUGCACUCCUUAGCACUUAUAACACUUAUACAACGUGUUUAUCAUGCCAUAGGAUGUCUUACAAUUGUUUAUUAGUUGUUUAGAGACUAAUUGGGUACACAUAUGUGAUAUUAUAUGUUAUCUAGGAUCAUAGAGUGUGUACAAGUCUUCACUUGACACCUAGCAUCCUAUUUCAGUCCGUUCAUCCCAACCACUUGCUACAGGUGAGUUCAUACCCCCUUAAUCAAUGGUUUAAAUGUUUUUAAAUGAUUUUAUGGGGGGGGAUACAAGUUGAAUACUUAUGGUUAUUAUAUCAAUCACAUGUGAUUAAUAACUAACAAAACCAGUGAUUUUCUUAUUGUUCAAAUGGUUUAUCAAACUGUUUUGCUUCAAACCGUUUUACAAACUCUUAUUCUUAUCAAAUACGUUUACUUAAGCUCUGUUAUACUUAUUAUCAAAUGCAUGCCUAUGUAUGUAUAGUUAUAUAAGCAAUGUUUAAAAGGCUUAGGAAGGCCAGCUCGCUUUGUUUCCUUUUCCCCGUUGGGAUGUGUUCUGGUAAGGUAUCGGGUAUCCGUUCGAAGGUCGUUUAAAUAUUAGUUAUAUAUCAUGUGUACAUAUAUAGUCAUAAAGGUUCGUCGAGUCAGUUCAAUACCCUUGGGUAGCAAGGGUAUACUUCCAUGUUCAUACGUACCAGUUACAUCACUAAUAAGUUACCAUAGGGGUAGCACAAGAGGAUACAAUACUAUUACUAGCAUAAUGAAAAAUACAAUGAGUCGGUUCAUUCAUGAGUCAGUACAUUACUAUACAUGCUAGAUAGAGAGAGAACAUACAUUACAACUAGUACACGCAGAACAUUACAGUACAUACAAGCUAGACAGAGAAAGAGUACACUUUCAGUUAGUACACUCAUUACAUGUACAUUCAUGCAGUUAUGUGAACCAUUAGACGGGUCAUGGCACUUCCUGCCAUGACCGUUUUUGUAUCCCGAAUCUCCUUAAUUAGGGAGCGUAUGAGUUUGCGUAUAGAUCUAUACUGGAUUGACUAUCCUACACCUUGUUGCUUGCUACAGUGGGACUUGCAAGUCUACGGAUGCCAAAUGUCAUUUCUUACGGCGUCUUACAUCGUCGUUUUACUAGAGUCGGUAGUAGGAUACAAGUCAAUAACAUGUUACUUUAAAUUACAAUAGAUUUAAAGUAGUUAGUACGGUUGUAGUUAUUUGAUACUACACCAUAGUACUAUUUCAUUUUCCCAUUACAUUCACUUCAUGAACAUUCAUACAAUGCACGGUAAUGUAGAAGCUAUAUUUUGGUUAAUGAUAGUCGGGUUUGGGAAAAUACACACUCUUACAGGAGACACAUAUAGAUACUAGAUGCCUUGGUAGAAGGCUAAUCUCAGUAGGAAGCAUAGGGCUUUCUAGAAUGUUCAAAACAUUUUCAUACUUACACUUCAUUCAUGUACAAAUACUUACAGUUCAUGUACAUACAAAUACUUACAUUUCAUAUACAUACAAAUACUUACAUAAAAAUUAAGGCACUAAAAUAAUUAUGAUCUCACCAGCUUUAAAGCUGAUACUUGUUUUCAAAAUAACUUGUAUCCUCAGGUCAACGAUAGACAGGUACAGAUGCAAGGUUUAGAGAAGACGGAGCUCGUUCAAGACUCAGCUGUCAUUUGGAUUUAUACUUUAGUGUCUAUUAGACAUAUCAGAACACUUGUAUUAAAAUUUAUAUUAUUAAUGCAAUGGAUGAUGUUUUUGCUUCUUUACUACUAUUCAUUGUUGUGAUACUGUACAUGACGUCCUCCGCCCCAGAACGUUUCCGCCGUUCAUGGUUUUGGGGUGUGACAGAUUGGUAUUAGAGCAUUGUUUAUAGUGAAUUAAGUAUAUCAACCCAUAAAAGAUAUACAGACUAUAAAUAC